rnacentral:misc_RNA from 1 species
GAAAUGCGAUAAGUAAUGUGAAUUGCAGAAUUCCGUGAAUCAUCGAAUCUUUGAACGCACAUUGCGCCCUCUGGUAUUCCGGGGGCAUGCCUGUCCGAGCGUCAUUGCGAACCCCUCAAGCACGGCUUGUGUGAUGGGCCCUCCCGCGUCUUGGUCGUCAAGACGGGCCCGAAAUGCAGUGGCGGCUUCGCGGUUAUCCGAUCAGCCAGAGCGUAUGGGGACUCUCUCUCUUGUCACACGCCCGCGGCGCGGACCGGCGCCUGUCGACCUUUAUUCAUCUUCUCUCGGUUGACCUCGGAUCAGGUAGGGAUACCCGCUGAACUUAAGC